rnacentral:lncRNA from 1 species
AUGAAUAAAGUAAAGUUUUCCAGGGUGUUUAAACAUACAGCUGAGUUAAUUCCACAUUCAGAGUUUCUUUUUUUUUUUUUUUUUUUUUUUUUUUUUAGUUUCAACUCAGCUGAACUGUUACUCAAAGGAUGGAUAUAUUUGUGUUCAUAUACUGGUCGUUUUGGAAAAGUAUGUUACAUUAAGGAAGCAAUCUUCAUUUUCUGUUGUUUUUCGUUGGAGAAGAACUUUCCAUGUAGGGAGGUAGGUGACAAGCACACAGAGCUCGCUGCUAAACUACUGCAACCAGGUGGAUCAGAAACAGAAUUGGAGCUAUUUUAUCUGGACCUAAUUAAACAACCUUCAUUACUGGCAGGUAUGUGUUUGUGAUGACAGAAAUUAGCUUGAUUGGAAUUAAAACUC